rnacentral:rRNA from 1 species
UACGUAGGGGGCAAGCGUUGUCCGGAUUUAUUGGGCGUAAAGAGCGUGUAGGCGGUUCGGUAGGUCCGUUGUGAAAACCCGAGGCUCAACCUCGAGACGCCGAUGGAAACCCCCGAACUAGAGUCCGGAAGAGGAGAAUGGAAUUCCUGGUGUAGCGGUGAAAUGCGCAGAUAUCAGGAAGAACACCCGUGGCUAAGGCGGUUCUCUAGUACGGUACUGACGCUGGGACGCGAAAGCGUGGGGAGCGAACAGG